rnacentral:rRNA from 1 species
AUGCCGGCGGCUGUGCGCCCACCACGCCCGCCAUGUGUUCGGCGGUUUGCUUGCUUGGCGAUGGACUCGGACGAGGAGGAGGCGCUCACGGCGUUGCUGGAGGAGGAAGCCGAUGCCGACGUGCAGGAGGAGGAGCAUCUCAUGGUCCUCGCCGCCCUCGCCGGCCUGCUCGCGAGCAAUGAAAAGCCGCGGCGAGGUGGCUCGGUGCCGGGGCGGCUGAAAGCAAAGAACCGGCAUCGUCUGGAAGGCUAUUUCAUGCUCUACUCCGACUACUUCGCCGACGCUCCAUUGCACGGCGACAAAGUUUUUCAGCGUCGUUAUCGGAUGAGCCGAAAGCUUUUCCUCAGGAUUGUGAAUUCCAUCCGGGGGUUCGACAACUACUUCAAGUGCAAGAAGGAUUGCACCAGCACACUUGGAUUCACCUCAAUCCAGAAGUGCACGACAGCUAUGAGGAUGCUUGCAUAUGGAGCUCCCGGUGAUUCACUCGACGACUAUGGGCGCAUGGCCGAGUCCACGACCAUUGAGUGUUUCUACAAGUUCUUUAGGGCAGUGGUGCCAGUGUUUGGACCGCAAUACUUGUGA